rnacentral:lncRNA from 1 species
AUGUUUUUGCGUAGCCCUUGGGGUCACUAAAGAUUUGUGUCUUGAAAUUUUGGAUCACAGGGUAAGCUUUUGCAAUUAGCGGGCUUUCAAAGCAGCCAUAUUGUGGGUCUCGGUAUUUACAUGGAGGUGGUGGCGGCGGAGGGGGAGGCGGCGGCGGCGGUGGCGGUGGGGGAGGCGGCGGCGGCGGUGGCGGGGGCGGAGGCGGCGGCGGCGGUGGGGGAGGCGGCGGCGGCGGCGACGGUGGGGGUGGACAUUCAGGUUCAGGCGGGGGAGGAGGGGGUGGACAUUCCUCGAUGUGAGAAGGGGCAGGAGCUUCCC